UUUGUCAGUUGGUCGGUUGCUGCAGGGAGUGUUAACUGGUAACUACUCAGAUGCAGUCUUCUCAUAACUCACUACUAUCUAGUAUAUAGUUUACUUGUUAUGUAACCUAAGCCUGCCUUCAGGAACAACUCUGUAAACCUGAAUGAAUCUGAUAGUAAAGUAAAUGUAAAGGGACCCCUGACCAUUAGGUCCAGUUGUGACCGACUCUGGGGUUGCGGCACUCAUCUCGCUUUAUUGGCCAAGGGAGCCGGUGUACAGCUUCCGGGUCAUGUGGCCAGCAUGACUAAGCCGCUUCUGGCAAACCAGAGCAGUGCACGGAAACGCUGUUUAUCUUCCUGCCGGAGCGGUACCUAUUUAUCUACUUGCACUUUGACGUGCUUUUGAACUGCUAGGUUGGCAGGAGCAGGGACCGAGCAACAAGAGCUCACUGCGUUGCAGGGAUUCGAACCGCCGACCUUCUGAUCGGCAAGUCCUAGGCUCUGUGUUUUAACCCACAGCGCCACCCAGUUUAUGUUAAUAUGAUUCAGAUUCAUGUGUGUUUCCUUUAAGAGGAACAGAACGGAAUUAUCAACCAGGAAGGUAUAAUGAUUGAUAGGACUCAAACGAGUUAGCAACCCGCUUGUUGCUGCAUAAACUCAAACAGGGGAUCAUUUAAACUCUGCUAAAUUAUAUAAACGUUACCACACUGCGUACCCUUGAAUACCCCCUGAAAAAAGCACUGCCCCUUUUUCUGGCAGCCCCUAGACCACUUCAGCACUUUUGUGGGGGAAUUCAGGGGAGGAGAACCUGGAUAAUGUCACACCCCCCCUCCACACUUCAAAAACUGGUUCUUCCCUCUAAAAUCCUGUUUAGAGGUGCAGCAUGCACACACUCACUCACUCACUCACUCAUGGUUUUGCCAUUUGCAGAAACUAAGCUCACUAUCACGCAUAAAUUAGAAAAUAAUUAAAAUGCAUGGAUGUGAAAGGAAGGAGAAUUCCCAUACAGGUGCCUCACUUAUAAAAGGAGCUGAUUGACAUUCAGGAGGUAGUAGGGGUUGUUCUAAGGCAUGCUGGCAUAAGACACUCAGAGCUGUGAUGAAAGAAAUGUGGCCAGGAUGCUCAUGUUUUCCGAAGGGACAGAGAUAGGGCAAUGGAAAAGAGGAAGUGAGGAAGGAAAGCUUGCAGUAAUAAUCCAGCAACAUGGAUGCUCCAAGUCUGGAGAUUAAUAAUGUUCCACUCACUCAGUUUAACCUGCACAGACCUGCUUUGAUUGCCAAUGAAAGAGCCAUGGGGGAGAAGGACUACAACACUGAUGAAAUAGAUUUAUGGAUGAGCAAUACAUUAUUUUCUUUGAUUUGCUGUUGCUAAAUUUGUGGGUUUUUCAGAUCCUCGGUGCUAACCGUUUAAUAUCUUAUGCAUCAAGUUUCACAAGACUCCUGAUGGGCUUUACAAUUACUAAUCCAUCAUAACAGCACCCGGAGGAUUUGCAUUCUGCAGUUAUUUCUCAGAAAGGAGUUUGCUCACUGAGAAACCCAUACCUUGCCAUCAUGGCUCCUUAUCCCUUCCUAUACUCAGAAGUGCUGUAUAUGUUUUCAAUGUUGGUGUGGUACAAUACUGCUGAGAUUAUACCAUUUCAGACUCCAUAUUGAGGACUGGAUGAUUGAAUGCUGUCUCACAUAAAGAAUAAUAAUCUCCCUGCAUAUGGAAAGUUAGCCUGGGAGAGGCUAGCUUUUGAUGUGCAUGAUGUUGUUUACAUGAGAGCACACUUUCAGCCCAAAGGCACCUGAAAGGAUGUACAAAUAUUUAGAAAGCUGA
rnacentral:lncRNA from 1 species